rnacentral:rRNA from 1 species
GACGAACGCUGGCGGCGCUGCUUAACACAUGCCAGUCAUGGGGACCCAGCAAUGGGUAACCGGCGCAACGGGUGCGCUUACACGUGUAGAUGACCUGCCGAUUUGUGGGGGAUAGCCGGGCCAACGCCCGGGUUAUACCGCAUACGCCCUUCUUGGGGCAUCUCUAGAAGAAGAAACCUCCGGGGCCAAUCGAGGGACUCGCGGCCUAUUAGCUAGUUGGCGAAGUAACGGCUCACCAAGGCUACCACGGUAGCUGGUCUGAGAAGAUGGCCAGCCACAUUGGGACUGAGAUACCGCCCAGACUCCUACCGGAAGCAGCAGUGGGGAAUAUUGCGCAAUGGCCUAACCGCUGACGCAGCGACGCCGCGUGUGGGAUGACGCCCUUCGGGNGUAACCACUGUUGCUCGAGACGAAUAGCGAGCUUUAGCUCGCCUGACGGUAUCGAGUGAGGAAGUACCGGCUAACUCCGUGCCAGCAGCCGCGGUAAUACGGAGGGUGCCAGCGUUGUCCGGAAUCCUGGCGUAAGGGCCGUAGGUGUAGUAGGUUGUAAGUCGGCCACCGACGCGGCACGUAUACUCAGGUAUCGUUC